rnacentral:rRNA from 1 species
AUUGAACGCUGGCGGCAGGCCUAACACAUGCAAGUCGAGCGGAUGAGUGGAGCUUGCUCCAUGAUUCAGCGGCGGACGGGUGAGUAAUGCCUAGGAAUCUGCCUGGUAGUGGGGGACAACGUUUCGAAAGGAACGCUAAUACCGCAUACGUCCUACGGGAGAAAGUGGGGGAUCUUCGGACCUCACGCUAUCAGAUGAGCCUAGGUCGGAUUAGCUAGUUGGUGAGGUAAAGGCUCACCAAGGCGACGAUCCGUAACUGUCUGAGAGGAUGAUCAGUCACACUGGAACUGAGACACGGUACAGACUCCUACGGGAGGCAGCAGUGGGGAAUAUUGGACAAUGGGCGAAAGCCUGAUCCAGCCAUGCCGCGUGUGUGAAGAAGGUCUUCGGAUUGUAAAGCACUUUAAGUUGGGAGGAAGGGCAGUAAGUUAAUACCUUGCUGUUUUGACGUUACCAACAGAAUAAGCACCGGCUAACUUCGUGCCAGCAGCCGCCGUAAAAC